AAAGAAAUAUAUGUAAGUCACUAAACCUUUUAAAGGAAGAUAAUUAGAAAAUAAUUAUCAAGCUGUUUUGACCAAAAUUCAGAUUCUACUUCAACAAAUUCCAAGGUAUUGCCCAGAUUAUUUUUUACAUUUAAAGCAUGGCAAAACUUAUACUACAUAAUUAAUUGUGUUCUUUCAUUUGUUGAUAAUGUCUUAGAAGGGUAAUAGAAAAAAACAUUUUGAGAAUUUCUCUUUCUCUGUAUCAUCAAAUAUGCAGUUUGUCAUUGUUUAUUCUCAGUCAUUUCCAUUCCCAAUUUAAGUGUUGGAUAUGAUAACCAGCUGAAUUGAAGGCCUGAUUCUAUGAAUAGCAAUUUUAAGAAAGGAUUUGGGAGAUAGGGGUGGGUAACUGAACUUGGUAAUAACAAUAAAAUGAUCCCAAGCAAAAGCUAUUGCAUGAGCAUAGCCUGUACAAUUAAUAGUGACACUUCAGCAGCAGCAGAGCCACUGCAAAAGUCAUACCAUCAUUUCCCAUUUUACAUUUCUCUCCAAGAUUUCCCAGAGAAAUGCCAUCAAAAGCACAAAUACUAUUGGUAGGAUUCCAAACUCUAAGAAACAUCUUAAUUCAGAAGAUGUUAAAACAUCAAAAUAGAGAGGAAAAUGUUGGCAUGAUUACUAUUUAUGACUAGCUUCUGCUCUCUGCACUGAAGAUCUUAGCUAUUUCCUUCAUUUUACAGUUGAGAUUUAGAAAAAGUACAUAGGAAGUACAUAGUAAAGCUUUAUCUCUGCAUAUUUUUGCAAUUUGGAAGGACAAAUAGAAACAACACUAGGACUUGAUACGUUUAGUCAUACUCUGUAUUGUAGACUCGGAAAGGAAAAAACACGAGCUGUUUUCCCUUCACUCUCACGUCACAACAAUCAACACAGGAGACUUCUGUGACCAAAUGUGUGGCAGUUUCUCCACUCCAACUAGCAAUAAAUAAUCAGUCAAUUCUGCAGUGGGCACCAGCUGGGUGUCCUCCAGUUUAAUUCCAACACAACCUGGCUGGAGAUAUCAUCAGAUCCCACAGCUUAAAGGCUCAGUCCCACAAGACCACCCUUCAUUUCACAUGGUAGUCAAAAGCCCUUCGUUGCUUUACCAGUGCUUUUCACCAAUGGGCUAUAAAUUGGGGUUCCCUGACCCUUUCUUGUGUUCAAUGCAUUUGCUAGAGUAGCUCAGAGAACUCAGGAAAAGAGGUUAAUCGGUUUGUUGUGAAGGAUAUUACAAAGAGUACAGAUGAAAAGAUGCAUAAGGAAAGGUAUGAGGCAAAGGAUGUGGCACGCCCAUGCCCUCCCUGGGAACACCACCCUCCAGGAAUCUCCACACAUUCGGCUAUCCAGAAGUUGUCAGAACCUAGUUUUUUUGUGCUUACAGAGGCUUCAUUACAAAGGCAUGACUGAUUAAACCAUUGGUCAUUGGUGAACUACUUAACUUUCAGCCUCUCUCCCAUCCGUGGAGGUUGGGAGGUCAGACAGAAAAUCCCAACCUUCUAAUUCUGCACUCAUCAUCUUUUGGUGACCAGUCACCAUCCUGAAGUGACCUAGGGGCUGUCAGCCUUCAGUCAAAUCAUUAGAAUAUGAAAAGAUAUUAUUUUGGAGACUCUAAGCAUUUUAGAAUUGUAUGCCAGGAAAUGGUGUCAAAGACCAAAUAUAUAUUUUAUAAUAUCACAGACACAUGCAUAGAUUGUUCAGUUUCUUCUAAGUGAAGUUGAAAAGUGUUUCAACCUAAAUUGCCCUAUUCUUUCCUUCUAUGGUUCCUUCCUAUAAUUCUGUCUAAUGUAAUUUAGAAGAACAUUGAGGGGAAACAACUUUUACUUGAUCGGAGGAUUAACUAUUCACUUCCCAAGGGUUCAACUGAAAGACCCUCCAAUCAGACUAACCUGUAUCUGCAACUCUCCUGAUGAGCUCUGAGCCUUCUCAGUGCUACAAAUACUUAUAUCAGGCAGAGGUGGGUUGGGAUCUAAUUUAAAUUUACCCAUCCUAAUAUGAGUAAGAUAAUUCUAUUAUAUUCAUCCUAGAGAAUAUAUCCUUCAUAGAAAUAUAGGAAGAAAGAGCUUGAAUUUGGUUAGGAAUAUAGAUUAUGAACAGCCUCCUUAUCCUGAAAGCUGAGAUAAUACCUGUGUCAUGUGGUAACAAAAAAUAAGAUUAUUUGUAUAAAGAAGUUAGCUUGUAGCAAAGUUUAUAGUAAAGUGCUUCAAAAUGGCAGCAAGGAAAGGAAUAUUGAAGGAAAAUUUUAAAAGACAUUAGGUCAGUUGGUAUCUGUUUUUAGCAAGUAAACAAACAAAAUAUACUUUCUCUUUUCUGCCAAUAAAUAGGUUAGGAAGCAGCUGGAAGGCAACAUCGUCUGGCUUCUAGGAGGUCACACCUUCAAUGAGUUAUUAUUUUAUUGCUCCUUGGGAGCCUCCACUGAACGUGGUGUUCUGUCACUUCUGAAAUUCUGGGGAGUUCUUUUCAAGAUAGAAAAUUGACAACUAGUGCUUUUUAAAUCAUAGAAGGUAGUGCUUGUUGACCCAACAUGCGAUCCAAAGUGGUUAUAAAGUCUUUCGCAAGUGUACUAAAAAUGCCUGCCACCUUCCCGUUUCCACCCCUCCACACACAGCUUCUUGUAAAUACCCCCUCCACACAUACCCCACCAUACACGGUGUUCUCUCUGCUAAGAAGGAAACUGUAUACAGACGACAUGACCUCACCUCACCUUCAUUCUCCUCCAUGCCCAAAGCUGAGACUGUGGUGGCCAGUCAUUUGUAAGCUGUCCAGGCACCUUUGGCAUGGCCUUGUUUGAAAAGGUAAGAGAUUAUUUUUGGGGAAUUUUGUAGGAAGGGAAUAAAGCAAUGAGCAGUGAAGUUGAAAGUUUAUGCUCCAGACAGAGACUAAGAUAACCAUCAUGGAGAACGAUUUAAGCUUGUGGGAAAAUAGAAAGUAUGACUAUGAAUAGGUAUGAUCUAUAACAUAAAGACAGAUGAUUUAUAAUGUAGAAAAAAUAUUACAGAUUAGAAGUGAAAAAACCAAACAGAAGAGAUAAGGGAGUGAAGUAGAUUUCUGUGUAGGUAGAGAGUUUAGUAUAACGUAGAAUAUGGAAUCCUUCCAUGUUCUCCAUCAUAAAAUUCAAAGAAACCUCAUGACUUACUCAAGAUGCCUGUAGGAGCAGGAGAUGCCAUUGUGUUUUGCCCAAACAUUUGUUCAUCAAUUUUUUUUCUUUAAUGAAUGUGUGCAUUUUCUAAAAUGAAUAUCAAAGAAUGCUUCAUUUGUUUAUGUAUUUAAAAUAUGUAUUGACUACCAAAGAUAUAUAACAACCUCUGCUACACUCAAUCCUAGGUCCAGUGCAUGCACUUGGAAUCCAAGGACCCUACUUGGAAGGGCUGACAGUUUUAUGUUAGGAAACAGCUAAGGAAGUGUAUUUAUGGAGCACAUGUGAGAUUUCAUUACAUGCAUAGAAUGUGUAAUGAUCAACUCAGGGUAUUUGAGAUGUCCACUACUUUGACUAUGUGUCAUUUUGAUGUGUUAGAUGCUGUGACACUGAUAAAGACAGGAUAUGUAAAUGUGGGAGCUCAACGGAGGAACAUCUAGCUCCAACAGUUUGCUAGUUGUGGGGAAGAAAGGUUCUAUGGAUAACAUGCUCAUUACAGACACUCUGAAACUGAGGAGAACCAGGGUUCUUCCUGCAUGUUUAUGUUGAAUGUGAAGAAGGUAAGAUUACUGCUUCUGUUAUACUGUGGAGCUCCUCAUUAGGUCUAGCCAAUGUGGUUAGCUAUACUGUGUCUUCUACCACCACACAUACACAGAAAACCUUGGUAGCAAACACAGAAUGAACUUCCUUGAAAGUAGAGAAACAUUCUUUGGCUAAGGUAUGUGAGAAUAAGAAUGAAUGAUGCAAACAUUGGCAGAAAUGCUGAUGGAAGAACUGAUGGAUGCAGAUCUAUUUCAGAGACCCCUUAACUGUCAGGGAACAUGAAUUGUCUGGCUGGCUGAAUUGAGUCUAGAAAUGAUGCUCUCUGGCUGCUAAGUAUAUAUAUUUGACCAAAAGGUGUGUGAGGGCAGUGUCCAUUUCAUUACUUGCCCUGAGUCCUCAGGGCUUACCAGAAUACCAGGCAGAUACAUGCUUCAAAAGCCUGUGUUGAAUGAAUGAGAAAAUGAAUAGAAUAAUAUUUUCAUGAGUAGCCAUGGAUUGAGGUUAAAAUUAAUAAGAAGAGCCCCCAAGAGGUCUUGAUUGAGCCUUAUGCUUUGGGUCACUCUUCUGCUCAGCUGUGUGGAAUAAUUUGCAGCACUAGAAAUGGACUUAACAACUAGGAUGAGGGGGUUUUGUUUUUGGAUCAAACGUUUUUUCAUCAUGAAACUACUGGGUGGCCUCUGACAUGAUGUGUUUAGUUAUCAAACACGUCAGUUAAUACCAUGGAGAGAACACAUGUAUUAAAA